rnacentral:lncRNA from 1 species
UGUAAUCAUCUCCUCACAUCUCAGUGUGAAAAAUAAUUUGGAGAAAAAAACAAAAGUUGAAGGCAUACAGAUUACGUAUUGAGGAACCAUAUUCAUUCAGAUAAAGCCACAGACACGAAUUCUCAUGGAAGCCUGUCAAACAUAAACAGAAAGACUCUGGAAUUAUAACAUGGAAAUAAUGAAUUUCUGACUGCAAUUGGUGUCCAAAAAGCUAAGAACCAAGUUUCCCUUAAGUAAUUAGCUCCAUAUUCAAAAGAAUUAAAGUGUAUGUACCAG